AAAAUAUGGAGCAAUUUGUAUCCUGUGAAUAUAAAAGCCUGGCGAUGUUGGUUAGCUGAUUUCCUUAAAGAGAUUAAGAACAUGAAUCUCAAUCAAAUUGAGAUUCAGCUGACCAGGAAUGUUAACUCUCCUUUGCCAUGGAGUCUAAGGAGUCAGCACCUGGACAUCUUGGGGACAUUCUGCUAACCACAGGGCUCCUCGGGAUUCUUUCCUGCAUCCUCCAACCCAGCCUGCGUGUUCUCCUGCCUUGGGUUGUCUUUGUUCUGAUUCAGCCAGCCUGGAAUCCCAAGACAUUCAGCUCUCUCUCCUUCCUUCUUCAAACGAUGGUGGCCCAGCGUGAAUAGGUGACAGUGUUGGAGAAGUGGAACGUUUUUCUCCUGGAUGGCUGUCAAAUGUCAAACCUGCAGUAGGACACAUCUGUUCCUCCCACAGUGGAGGAUUCCUAAGGGAUCUUCGAGAACAUGGACUAGGAGGGAGUCCCAGAGAUUUCCCAUGAGACAAACAUCUCUCUCUCUCUCUCUCUCUCAACCCCUUCUUCCCUCUCCACCCCCCACCCCUUUUUCUUUUCUCCCCACUCUUUUCUUCUGGGAAAUGAGAACC